UACGAAGGGGGCUAGCGUUGCUCGGAAUCACUGGGCGUAAAGGGUGCGUAGGCGGGUUUUUAAGUCAGGGGUGAAAUCCUGGAGCUCAACUCCAGAACUGCCUUUGAUACUGAAGAUCUUGAGUCCGGGAGAGGUGAGUGGAACUGCGAGUGUAGAGGUGAAAUUCGUAGAUAUUCGCAAGAACACCAGUGGCGAAGGCGGCUCUCUGGAACGGUACUGACGCUGAGGUGCGAAAGCGUGGGGAGCAAACAGG
rnacentral:rRNA from 1 species